CCCAUUGUCGAUCACGGAGCAACAAUUUUGCACCAAAUGGGAGGAAGUCGAGUCGGGAAAGAGGAAGAAAGUUGUGAACUGAAGAGUAAGUCGCAAAGGGGCUAGAGAAAAUUGAUGAGAAGACUGAAGAGUGACAACUGCAUGAAAAAAAAAAAAAAAUUAAGUGCAUUGCUUCAAUAACUGACUUAUAGCAGAUGGGCUAUCUACCCCUUGCAUUAACUAGGUAGUGCCAUUGCAUAUGUACUUGUCCCUACAGCUGUGUACAUGUAUUAACUACAAAGAUAAAAAAUUUUAUCCAAUAGUUCAGUUAGCUCAUUCUAGGAGACAAAUGAAUAUGAUCCAAAAGAUAGGAACUGCUAGAAAAUAGCAGCAUAAUCAUUAAGCCCAAAGGCAGCAAGAAUUAUGUUGAAAGUAUCCAAUGCAUGAAUUUCAAUUGAACUUUAUUUAGCUGCACAAAUACCAUAGAUAGCCUAUAAAACAACAAAAUAUUAAUUCUUUUGUCUUGUUACAGCCAAAGUUUCUCCAUACUUAAUAGAGGAUCUCUUUUUAUCCAUGGCUAGCUUCUGACUGCAUUAAUGUACAUUUCUGUAGAAGUUUACACUAGGGAA
rnacentral:misc_RNA from 1 species